GACGAACGCUGGCGGCGUGCCUAAUACAUGCAAGUAGAACGCUGAAGGAGGAGCUUGCUUCUCUGGAUGAGUUGCGAACGGGUGAGUAACGCGUAGGUAACCUGCCUGGUAGCGGGGGAUAACUAUUGGAAACGAUAGCUAAUACCGCAUAAGAGUAGAUGUUGCAUGACAUUUGCUUAAAAGGUGCAAUUGCAUCACUACCAGAUGGACCUGCGUUGUAUUAGCUAGUUGGUGAGGUAACGGCUCACCAAGGCGACGAUACAUAGCCGACCUGAGAGGGUGAUCGGCCACACUGGGACUGAGACACGGCCCAGACUCCUACGGGAGGCAGCAGUAGGGAAUCUUCGGCAAUGGACGGAAGUCUGACCGAGCAACGCCGCGUGAGUGAAGAAGGUUUUCGGAUCGUAAAGCUCUGUCGUAAGAGAAGAACGAGUGUGAGAGUGGAAAGUUCACACUGUGACGGUAUCUUACCAGAAAGGGACGGCUAACUACGUG
rnacentral:rRNA from 1 species